rnacentral:sRNA from 1 species
CACCCCACCCCACCUAUGAGUGUAGCCAAAGCUGGUAAGUGACAAGGGCUUUCGUGGAAACUUGGCCUGACCUAAUGUUGGGCAUCAGGUUACCCAAAGAGCUUCAGGGAAAUGAGAAAGGACUUGCAGGUCUUGAUGAGAAUGGAGGGGUAACUGCCAAUGAGGGCUUUGGCUUUAGCGAAAGUCUGAAAGGGAAGCCAUAGGAACUUAAACUUACCGACUAUAAAGCUCUGAGAAAAGCUGAUGUUUUAGAAAGACCAUACAUUCUAGGUACAAAUACCUAAAAACUAAAAAAUAAGUACGUUGGCCAGGCGGGCGGAUCACGAAGUCAGGAGAUCGAGACCAUCCUGGCCAACAUGGUGAAACCCCACCUCUAUUAAAAAUACAAAAAUUAGCUGGGCGUGGUGGCGCUUGCCUGUAAUCUCAGCUACUCUAGAGGCUGAGGCAGGAGAAUCGCUUGAACCCCGGAGGCGGAGGCUGCAGUGAGCCGAGAUCGCGCCACUGCACUCCAGCCUGGUGACAGCGAGACUCUUGUCUCAAAAAAAAAAGUACAUCGCUAUAAGAGAAGUGCACACGGAUACUAAUAGUUAAUUCAGUCACAUCUGUGAAAUAGCUUAUAAAAUGCUACUUUUAAACAAGCUGUUUUUAUGAAAGGGCUUGUAAAUGUUUAUGGUAUUUAAGCUACCUCUCUAGCCAUAACGUAUUAUACAUUCAAGAAAGGUUCAAAACCAGAUAUACUAGAAACCAAUCUUUAUUUUUUACCCCACUACUAGGUAAGGGGCCUGGAAACCAAGAAGUGACUGCUCAUCUAAUCCAUAAAGCUAUGUUAACAGAUUGGAGGUAGUAGCAUUUUCAUUACAAGUGACUAAAAGAACAGCUGUUUACCCCUGAUCGUGCAGCAGUGCUUGCUGUUCCUUAGAAUUUUGCCUUGUAAGUUCUAGCUCAAGUUGGGGGGUGGUGAUAGACAUUUAAGAAGCCAUAUAUCUUUUCAGAAGUAGGUGUGAUGUACUAAAAGUUUGAGACACUUUCUAGAAGUCUCACUAUUUAAGUUAUGACUAGUAUUGGAUUUUUGGCAUGUCUUUGGGUUUCAUGUUUCUUAACCCAACUGCCUGCAGGGCCUUACGGCUGUCAGGAGCAGUUCUUGGGAAUUAAAGUAAUUACUGAAGAAGUAUUCUAGUGAGAAAAUGAAUUUAUGACUCAGAAGCCCCUAAAGACAUGGGUACUAAGCAACAAAAUAAGCAGAUGUUAAUUAACUGUAAUUUUCUCUUACAGCUGUUUGCAGACAAGGUCCCAAAGACAGCAGAAAAUUUUCGUGCUCUGAGCACUGGAGAGAAAGGAUUUGGUUAUAAGGGUUCCUGCUUUCACAGAAUUAUUCCAGGGUUUAUGUGUCAGGUACGAAAUUUACUGAAUUUUAUUUUAUUUGGGUUGCUCCCUUCAUUUGGGAUUGAGCCAGAAUAUUUCAGGAUACACAUAUCUGAACUGUUACUCUACCAUUUCGGUUCUAUUUAACCCUUCUAUUCAGUUUGAACUUGGGUUUAAAGUUUGAACUUUGCAGAUUUGGCACACUUUAUGGUUAUGUUGUCAGAAGUGACAUUUUUCCUAUAUGUUGACAGGGUGGUGACUUCACACGCCAUAAUGGCACUGGUGGCAAGUCCAUCUAUGGGGAGAAAUUUGAAGAUGAGAACUUCAUCCUAAAGCAUACAGGUCCUGGCAUCUUGUCCAUGGCAAAUGCUGGACCCAAUACAAAUGGUUCCCAGUUUUUCAUCUGCACUGCCAAGACUGAGUGGUUGGAUGGCAAGCAUGUGGUAUUUGGCAAAGUGAAAGAAGGCAUGAAUAUUGUGGAGGCCAUGGAGCGCUUUGGGUCCAGGAAUGGCAAGACCAGCAAGAAGAUCACCAUUGCUGACUGUGGACAACUCGAAUAAGUUUGACUUGUGUUUUAUCUUAACCACCAGAUCAUUCCUUCUGUAGCUCAGGAGAGCACCCCUCCACCCCAUUUGCUCGCAGUAUCCUAGAAUCUUUGUGCUCUCGCUGCAGUUCCCUUUGGGUUCCAUGUUUUCCUUGUUCCCUCCCAUGCCUAGCUGGAUUGCAGAGUUAAGUUUAUGAUUAUGAAAUAAAAACUAAAUAACAAUUGUCCUCAUUUGAGUUAA